rnacentral:rRNA from 1 species
UACGUAGGGCGCAAGCGUUAUCCGGAAUUAUUGGGCGUAAAGAGCUCGUAGGCGGUUUGUCGCGUCUGCCGUGAAAGUCCGGGGCUCAACUCCGGAUCUGCGGUGGGUACGGGCAGACUAGAGUGAUGUAGGGGGAGACUGGAAUUCCUGGUGUAGCGGUGAAAUGCGCAGAUAUCAGGAGGAACACCGGUGGCGAAGGCGGAUCUCUGGGCCUUGCCUGACGCUGAGGCGCGAAAGCUAGGGGAGCGAACAGG